rnacentral:rRNA from 1 species
CCUACGGGAGGCAGCAGUGGGGGAUAUUGCACAAUGGGGGGAACCCUGAUGCAGCGACGCCGCGUGGGUGAAGAAGCGCCUCGGCGCGUAAAGCCCUGUCAGCAGGGAGGAAAAUGACGGUACCUGAAGAAGAAGCCCCGGCUAACUACGUGCCAGCAGCCGCGGUAAUACGUAGGGGGCAAGCGUUAUCCGGAUUUACGGGGUGUAAAGGGGGCGCAGACGGCGAUGCAAGCCAGGAGUGAAAGCCCGGGGCCCAACCCCGGGACUGCUCUUGGAACUGCGUGGCUGGAGGGCAGGAGGGGGAGGCGGAAUUCCUGGUGUAGCGGUGAAAUGCGUAGAUAUCAGGAGGAACACCGGUGGCGAAGGCGACCUGCUGGACUGCAACUGACGUUGAGGCCCGAAAGCGUGGGGAGCAAACAGGAUUAGAUACCCUUGUAGUC